UCUAUUUUCCUUCUAUUUGUGAGUCUCAUUUCCAGAAAAAAGUAGUCAAUUUUCCCAACAAAAAGGAAAUCAAACUUUCCAUUUUCAUGAUUUUGUUUUUGUCCAUGACAGCCCAACUCCUUUGAAUCUAUCCUAUAAACCUUCUGGACUUUGAAUCUAUCCUAUAAACCUUCUGGACUUUGGAAUCUCUCUCUCUCUCUGUCUCUCUUUCUCGGAGUUGCCAAGGCUUCUCACACUCUAAAAUUCCAAUUCUCUGUGCACAAAACAGAACCCACAAAAAUGAAGAUAACAAAAUCAUCCAUGUCCCCAUUU
rnacentral:lncRNA from 1 species